rnacentral:misc_RNA from 1 species
UUAAGUUCAGCGGGUAGUCCUACCUGAUUUGAGGUCAAGUGUACAAAUAUUGCCAGAAGCAAUUACACUAGAAGCAGAUCGUCAUUCAGUUAAGUCACAGCGCCGAGAUUACAACACCAUGGACUAUUACUGAUAGUAAUCCAGCUAAUGCAUUUAAGAGGAGCCAAUACAAAGAUCAGCACAACCUCCAAGUCAAAUCA